rnacentral:misc_RNA from 1 species
AAAAAAACACCUCACUAAGCCUUGCAAAUUCACUAAACCACAUUACCCCUUUUCAUAUGACUCCUCAGACCUUGUUGUCCCUUACCAAAUUGUCGAAAAUUCGGGGUUUUUGCUUCAUCCUCCAUUGAUUGAAAAACCUGAUUGUGUCGUAAUUGAGCAUAAAUCUGUUAGUUCUUGUGAAAAACCAUGCCUGAGUCCUGGAGAAAUCGACUCUAAAGGGAGUGGUUCGAUAGAUGUGUGUGAAGAAUUUCAUGAAGAUUUCGAUGCUGAAUCGAUUUUAGAUGAGGAAAUUGAAGAAGGUGUUAUUGAUAAUAUCAUGGGAAAGAUAAGAGAUGAGAAUGAACUCAAGAAUGAGUCGAUAUUUAGUUAUAGUUAUAGUCAUAGCAAGCGCCACCAGAAUAAUUCUGGUGGCACUUGCUAUGGUUUUCCAAUAGGAUUAGGAUUCGAA